GCCCUGCACUUCGGGAUAAGCCUGGGAAACUGGGUCUAAUACCGGAUAGGACCUUUAGGCGCAUGUCUUUAGGUGGAAAGCUUUUGCGGUGUGGGAUGGGCCCGCGGCCUAUCAGCUUGUUGGUGGGGUGAUGGCCUACCAAGGCGACGACGGGUAGCCGGCCUGAGAGGGUGUCCGGCCACACUGGGACUGAGAUACGGCCCAGACUCCUACGGGAGGCAGCAGUGGGGAAUAUUGCACAAUGGGCGCAAGCCUGAUGCAGCGACGCCGCGUGGGGGAUGACGGCCUUCGGGUUGUAAACCUCUUUCACCAUCGACGAAGGUCCGGGUUUUCUCGGAUUGACGGUAGGUGGAGAAGAAGCACCGGCCAACUACGUGCCAGCAGCCGCGGUAAUACGUAGGGUGCGAGCGUUGUCCGGAAUUACUGGGCGUAAAGAGCUCGUAGGUGGUUUGUCGCGUUGUUCGUGAAAUCUCACGGCUUAACUGUGAGCGUGCGGGCGAUACGGGCAGACUAGAGUACUGCAGGGGAGACUGGAAUUCCUGGUGUAGCGGUGGAAUGCGCAGAUAUCAGGAGGAACACCGGUGGCGAAGGCGGGUCUCUGGGCAGUAACUGACGCUGAGGAGCGAAAGCGUGGGGAGCGAACAGGAUUAGAUACCCUGGUAGUCCACGCCGUAAACGGUGGGUACUAGGUGUGGGUUUCCUUCCUUGGGAUCCGUGCCGUAGCUAACGCAUUAAGUACCCCGCCUGGGGAGUACGGCCGCAAGGCUAAAACUCAAAGGAAUUGACGGGGGCCCGCACAAGCGGCGGAGCAUGUGGAUUAAUUCGAUGCAACGCGAAGAACCUUACCUGGGUUUGACAUGCACAGGACGCGUCUAGAGAUAGGCGUUCCCUUGUGGCCUGUGUGCAGGUGGUGCAUGGCUGUCGUCAGCUCGUGUCGUGAGAUGUUGGGUUAAGUCCCGCAACGAGCGCAACCCUUGUCUCAUGUUGCCAGCGGGUAAUGCCGGGGACUCGUGAGAGACUGCCGGGGUCAACUCGGAGGAAGGUGGGGAUGACGUCAAGUCAUCAUGCCCCUUAUGUCCAGGGCUUCACACAUGCUACAAUGGCCGGUACAAAGGGCUGCGAUGCCGCAAGGUUAAGCGAAUCCUUUUAAAGCCGGUCUCAGUUCGGAUUGGGGUCUGCAACUCGACCCCAUGAAGUCGGAGUCGCUAGUAAUCGCAGAUCAGCAACGCUGCGGUGAAUACGUUCCCGGGCCUUGUACACACCGCCCGUCACGUCAUGAAAGUCGGUAA
rnacentral:rRNA from 1 species